GUUUUAGUAGUUUAUAUAAAAACUUUGGUCUUGUAAGUCAAAAAUAAGGUAAAGGCUCCUUCUAAAACU
rnacentral:tRNA from 1 species